GAGUGGUCUGGAAAACCGAUCAGCUGUCAGCUUGAAAACCCAGUCAGCAGUGAACACAGUGAUGACAUCAUCAUCCCAUUCACAAGCAGAAAUUUUCCUGUUAUGUUCAUGCGAUUAGUAUUUAUUGUGUUGCUGAUUGUGGUGGCCCUGUCUGGCUUCUUUAUUUGGCACAAGCACAUAAAAACAAAUACAGCAUCAAGACCCGACCACAGAGACACUGAUUACAUCAGAGACAGCAGGAAAGAGGACAAAGAGGAGAUAAGAGGACACAUGCUCAGCCUGAGCGACCUGUGAUGAAGUCAAAUGAAUUCUGAGUCAUUGUUUCAAUCGAUCUCUCAGUGAGACGGACUACAGGUGGGACUCACAGGGUAUGGGAAAUGAAUUUUCGGUUCUUUGUUGAAUGUAUUCAUGAAUGUAAUCCUUGUUUACAUUGUUGUGCUGCUGCAGGCGAGUAUCAUUAUCUGUCCACCAGAGGUCGCCAUACACUCAGAUGGUUCAGCUUUUACUCGUGAAUGGUCUGUGUCAAAGGAAAAUCGUGUAUAUGUGAUCAGCUAUAUGAAAUGUAUCUUUUUAUUUUAUCAUUAAGCACAUGUC